rnacentral:lncRNA from 1 species
GGAAGAAACCGAGGAGACAUUAAAACCACUUGAGAAAGAGCUUCAAAACAAGAAGUUCUUUGGAGGAAAUAAAAUUGGAAUUGUGGACAUUGUUGGAACUGUAAUUGCAUAUUGGAUCCCAGCCAUUGAAGAAGCUUUUGGAUUUGAGCUGUUAACAACAAAAAAGUUUCCAAAGUUAACCAAAUGGAGUGAAGAGAUUGUAAACAACAGUGUGGUGAAGCAGGUUUUGCCCCCAAAAUCUAACCUUGUGGCCUACUUGCAAACUGUUUUAACAACCAAAUAGAAGAUUGGUUGCUUUCUUUUGUAUCUUCAAUAGACCACCUGGCUUAUGUAGUAAAAUAAAUCUCUAACCCUUUUGGUAAGGUUGAGAAUGUACUCUUACUGAAUGUUUU